AAACCAUGCAUUGGACAUUUAUGUAUUAAAUAUUUAGAUCUCUUCCAAACAUCAUAUAAGUUUUCAUACUCCAUUUGCUUAAAAUAUGUAAUUCCAUUUAUAAGCCU